rfam:Tetraodon nigroviridis, WGS project CAAE01000000 data, contig: CNS0BZ6O, chromosome: 18
ACAAAGGCUCUUUUAAGAGCCAUUACAUAUUCACCAAAGAGCAAAGG